UCAAAGAAAAUGGAGGUCUCUGAUAUUCUU
rnacentral:piRNA from 1 species